rnacentral:rRNA from 1 species
UACGUAGGGUGCAAGCGUUGUCCGGAAUUAUUGGGCGUAAAGAGCUCGUAGGCGGUUCAGUAAGUCAGGUGUGAAAUCUUUGGGCUUAACCCAAAGCGUGCACUUGAUACUGCUGUGACUUGAGUUCGGUAGGGGAGUGGGGAAUUCCUAGUGUAGCGGUGAAAUGCGCAGAUAUUAGGAGGAACACCGGUGGCGAAGGCGCCACUCUGGGCCGAAACUGACGCUGAGGAGCGAAAGCGUGGGUAGCAAACAGG